ACGAACGCUGGCGGCGUGCUUAACACCUGCAAGUCGAACGGAAAGGCCCUGCUUGCAGGGUACUCGAGUGGCGAACGGGUGAGUAACACGUGGGUGAUCUGCCCUGCACUUCGGGAUAAGCCUGGGAAACUGGGUCUAAUCCCGGAUAGGAGCCUUUUUUGGUGUGUUGGUUGGAAGGUUUUUUCGGUGUGGGUUGAGCGCGGGGCCUAUAAGCUUGUUGUGGGGGUAUGGCCCACCAAGGGGGGGGCGGGGUACCGGCCCGGGGGGGGGGAAGGCCACAUUGGGGCUGAGAGACGGCCCAGACUCCCACGGGGGGCAGCAGUGGGGAAAAGUGCACAAUGGGGGCAAGCCUGAUGCAGCGACGCCGCGUGGGGGAUGACGGCCUUCGGGUUGGAAACUCCUUUCGCUAGGGACGAAGCUUUUUGUGACGGUACCUAGAUAAGAAGCACCGGCUAACUACGUG
rnacentral:rRNA from 1 species